rnacentral:tRNA from 1 species
GGGGAUUUAGCUCAGUGGUAGAGCGCUUGCCUAGGAAGCGCAAUGUCCUGGGUUCGAUCCCCAGCUCCG